CACGUAGGGCGCAAGCGUUGUCCGGAAUUAUUGGGCGUAAAGAGCUCGUAGGUGGUUUGUUACGUCUGCUGUGAAAACCUAGGGCUUAACCCUGGGCUUGCAGUGGAUACGGGCAGACUAGAGGUAGGUAGGGGAGAAUGGAAUUCCUGGUGUAGCGGUGAAAUGCGCAGAUAUCAGGAGGAACGCCGGUGGCGAAGGCGGUUCUCUGGGCCUUACCUGACACUGAGGAGCGAAAGCGUGGGGAGCGAACAGG
rnacentral:rRNA from 1 species